GACGAACGCUGGCGGCGUGCUUAACACAUGCAAGUCGAACGAAGAGCGACGGAAGCUUGCUUCUAUCAAUCUUAGUGGCGAACGGGUGAGUAACGCGUAAUCAACCUGCCCUUCAGAGGGGGACAACAGUUGGAAACGACUGCUAAUACCGCAUACGAUCUAAUCUCGGCAUCGAGGAUAGAUGAAAGGUGGCCUCUACAUGUAAGCUAUCACUGAAGGAGGGGAUUGCGUCUGAUUAGCUAGUUGGAGGGGUAACGGCCCACCAAGGCGAUGAUCAGUAGCCGGUCUGAGAGGAUGAACGGCCACAUUGGGACUGAGACACGGCCCAGACUCCUACGGGAGGCAGCAGUGGGGAAUCUUCCGCAAUGGACGAAAGUCUGACGGAGCAACGCCGCGUGAGUGAUGACGGCCUUCGGGUUGUAAAGCUCUGUUAAUCGGGACGAAAGGC
rnacentral:rRNA from 1 species